rnacentral:tRNA from 1 species
GGAGGGAUGCCGGAGCGGUCGAACGGGGCGGUCUCGAAAACCGUUGUACGUGCAAACGUACCGUGGGUUCGAAUCCCACUCCCUCCG